CCCCGUUACCCCAUAAUAGGAGCCUGAAGUCGCGAUUAUCUCUCGGAGUAGGUGACCCAGAGCGACGAAACUUGGCAGACUUGUUCGGCCCGAUGGGCCACGCAUGCCAAAAGUGCAAUGUGGCGUCUCAGUGCCACCGCUUCCGGUGAAAGUGUCGCCGAAGGUACGCUAACUGGCCCGUAUUGGCCCCCGUUACCCCAUAAUAGGAGCCUGAAGUCGCGAUUAUCUCUCGGAGUAGGUGACCCAGAGCGACGAAACUUGGCAGACUUGUUCGGCCCGAUGGGCCACGCAUGCCAAAAGUGCAAUGUGGCGUCUCAGUGCCACCGCUUCCGGUGAAAGUGUCGCCGAAGGUACGCUAACUGGCCCGUAUUGGCCCCCGUUACCCCAUAAUAGGAGCCUGAAGUCGCGAUUAUCUCUCGGAGUAGGUGACCCAGAGCGACGAAACUUGGCAGACUUGUUCGGCCCGAUGGGCCACGCAUGCCAAAAGUGCAAUGUGGCGUCUCAGUGCCACCGCUUCCGGUGAAAGUGUCGCCGAAGGUACGCUAACUGGCCCGUAUUGGCCCCCGUUACCCCAUAAUAGGAGCCUGAAGUCGCGAUUAUCUCUCGGAGUAGGUGACCCAGAGCGACGA